AGAGUUUGAUCCUGGCUCAGGACGAACGCUGGCGGCGUGCUUCAGACAUGCAAGUCGAGCGGACGGAUGCCGACCCGCAAGGGGAGGCUGAAGUUAGCGGCGAACGGGUGAGUAAUGCGCGGGCAAUCUACCCGGAAGCCGGGGAUAACGGAUCGAAAGGUCCGCUAAUACCGGAUAAUGUCCUCCUGUCGCAUGAUGGGGGGAAGAAAGGCCUUCGGGCCACUUUCGGAUGAGCUCGUGUCCUAUCAGCUAGUUGGUGAGGUAACGGCUCACCAAGGCAACGACGGGUAACGGUCUGAGAGGAUGAUCGGUCACACUGGGACUGAGAUACGGCCCAGACUCCUACGGGAGGCAGCAGUUAGGAAUAUUGGGCAAUGAGCGAAAGCUUGACCCAGCGACGCCGCGUGAGGGAAGAAGGCCUUCGGGUCGUAAACCUCUGUCAUCGGGGACGAAGAAAGUGACGGUACCCGAGGAGGAAGCCCCUGCUAACUACGUGCCAGCAGCCGCGGUAAUACGUAGGGGGCGAGCGUUGUCCGGAGUUAUUGGGCGUAAAGGGCGUGUAGGCGGCUUGUUAAGUCAGGCGUGAAAUUUCAGGGCUCAACUCUGAAACUGCGUUUGAAACUGGCAGGCUUGAGGACAGGAGAGGGAAGUGGAAUUCCCGGUGUAGCGGUGGAAUGCGUAGAUAUCGGGAGGAACACCAGUGGCGAAGGCGGCUUCCUGGACUGUACCUGACGCUGAGGCGCGAAAGCUAGGGGAGCAAACAGGAUUAGAUACCCUGGUAGUCCUAGCUGUAAAACGAUGAGUGCUAGGUGU
rnacentral:rRNA from 1 species